UACAGAGGUCUCAAGCGUUGUUCGGAUUCAUUGGGCGUAAAGGGCUCGUAGGCGGUUUGUCGCGUCGGGAGUGAAAUCCACUGGCUUAACUGGUGGCUUGCUUUCGAUACGGGCAGACUGGAGGUAUGCAGGGGAGAACGGAAUUCCUGGUGUAGCGGUGAAAUGCGCAGAUAUCAGGAGGAACACCGGUGGCGAAGGCGGUUCUCUGGGCAUGUCCUGACGCUGAGGCGCGAAAGCUAGGGGAGCAAACGGGG
rnacentral:rRNA from 1 species